UAUCCGUCUCCCUUGUAGAUGUCAGUGGUAGGUGUGGUAUCCAUCUCCCUUGUGAUAUAGAUGUCAGUGGUCGGUGUGGUAUCCAUCUCCCUUGUAGAUGUCAGUGGUAGGUGUGGUAUCCAUCUGCCUUGUGAUGUAGAUGUCAGUGGUAGGUGUGGUAUCCAUCUCCCUUGUGAUGUAGAUGUCAGUG